rnacentral:rRNA from 1 species
AUUGAACGCUGGCGGCAGGCCUAACACAUGCAAGUCGAGCGGAUGAAGGGAGCUUGCUCCUGGAUUCAGCGGCGGACGGGUGAGUAAUGCCUAGGAAUCUGCCUGGUAGUGGGGGAUAACGUCCGGAAACGGGCGCUAAUACCGCAUACGUCCUGAGGGAGAAAGUGGGGGAUCUUCGGACCUCACGCUAUCAGAUGAGCCUAGGUCGGAUUAGCUAGUUGGUGGGGUAAAGGGCUACCAAGGCGACGAUCCGUAACUGGUCUGAGAGGAUGAUCAGUCACACUGGAACUGAGACACGGUCCAGACUCCUACGGGAGGCAGCAGUGGGGAAUAUUGGACAAUGGGCGAAAGCCUGAUCCAGCCAUGCCGCGUGUGUGAAGAAGGUCUUCGGAUUGUAAAGCACUUUAGGUUGGGAGGAAGGGCAGUAAGUUAAUACCUUGCUGUUUUGACGUUACCAACAGAAUAAGCACCGGCUAACUUCGUG